GGAGAUUUGACCCAUGAACCCAUACAGAGGAGACCAUGUGAUGACUGAGGUAAAGAUAAAAGUGACAUGGCCACAAGCCAGGGAACACUGACAGCCAUCAGAAUCGGGAAGAUGCAAAGAACAGAACUUUCCUGGAGCCUCUGGACUAGAAAAUUAUAAAUCAAGCACUCCUGCUGAUUGAUGUCUUGAUCUCAGAAUACAUUCAUACCUUUGUGGUAAUAGGGUAGGGUGCCCUGUGAUGAUAGCCAAGGUGCCAAGGUUGGGAAGCCCUGCUGCAGAGGAAACAGCACAGCACACUGUAAUCUCCAAGAAACAUGGUCCAAAUGCAUAAUGCCAUGAACUGACAAUAAUCAAGCAAUGAAUAAUAUUCAUCAUGGUCUUUUGGCUGCCAAAAUCAAUCAAUCAAUGUGUAAACUUUCUUACCUAAUAUUUGCUCUGAAUGACUGCUUCUCAUUGAAAAUUCCUGUCCUACCAACAUUCCGAUUCCACAACCAGAACCCACAGUUAAUUGAGCUCAUAAUACUGGUAAGCAAGUACCAAAAAAGUUAUCUCUUCAGCCAGAAAAAAAUGCCACAAAUGUUCACCACAGUUAAAUAUAUACAAGCAUUAUUCCUUGAUAUCUUGCAGAAUCAACUAAAUAUAACAGCUGAGGCUUAAAAACUCACUUUCUCUGUAGAAGGACCUAUUUUGGUUAUGCUUGGAUUUCCACUGAACAGCAUUUGGCUUUGUUUUACUAACCACACACUGUCUGUUGCCAUCCUCUCUCUAAGUCUACCCACAGAAAUGUGAAUGCUUCCACUAAUGGUAAACCACCAACAUCAAUGCAAGCACAGCAAUAAUUCCACAGCCAGCCCUAGAUCUUAGUACUCUAAAGGGAAGAAAUCAAAAGGUUUUCAGAACAUAAUUUAUUGACACUUAGGGUUUUCACCAACUCUGUUAUGCCUGUUCAGGCCACCAAAGCAGACAAGUUGAUUGAAACUUUUUUUUAGCAUCUCUACAUGAUUGUGAUUACAUUCAUGUCAAAAAAUAUUUUGUGAAUUUUUAUUUUGGGGGUUGUAGGAUAGCAAGAUGGCAUCGAUAUUUUGGGCUUGCCCAGGAUGCUAUAUUUGGAAUGUUUAAAUUUUUCAAAUGAUUGAAAAGCAAUUAAUCUCCAUCAUGUAGGGAAACCUAGUCAUGUUUACUACACCUGACGUUCAUAUACUUGCUAGGUAAGCAUCUAGAUUGAAGUAAAAACCAAUAUUAUUAUAUUUAUGUAUUCCUAGUGAAAACAUUUUGUGUUUUUAAGGUGUUUUAGGUGUUUAGGACAAAUUCUAAAGUAAGAGAAUUGUUUUAUUUGGUGGCUUUUAUCUUUCUUCACUCUUCCCCCAAAUGGGCAUGGUUCUAUAAUCACCAUAAUUCUCCCACGGUUGCCAAGAUAAGCGUGCACGCGUGUGUGCGCGCACACACACACACACUUUCUCUCUCUUCUCAGAACCUGGCACAAGCCUGCAAUUACUUAAACUCAAUAUCUCUAUCAUUUCAGGUAUAAUUUACAUAAAGUCAAAAUACACAAGUCUUAACUGUAUAAUUCCAUCAGUUUUGGUAAAUGUAGACACCACACCUCUAUCAAAAUAUGGAGCAUUUUCAUCAUCCUAGAGGGUUACCUCAUGCCCCUUCCCAGGCAGUCCCACCCUUGCUUCCCAUUCACUCACAAAAGCAGCCACUGCACCAUGGAAUAGUUUCAUCUCUUCCAGAAUUUCAUCAG
rnacentral:lncRNA from 10 species